GCAUUUCAUAAAUGACUUAAUGAAUGGGGAGAUUGUGCUAGAAAGCCAAACAGAUUAGAACCCAACAUAGAGAAGAAAAGAACAAAUCACUCCCUGCUGAACUUCCUUAAUUUUAAGCUUCAUGUAAAAGGGUCACAUGUAAUGUUCUCUUCUCUAAAAUAUAAUCGUUCUCUGAGAGCAGGUUUCUUGGGGGGCUUCUGGAGGCAGUCUUAGUUUCAGUUCAGUGUAAUAAUCACUUCAAAUGAAGCCAGGGAUUAAAGUCCAAAUCCUUUAUUGUUUCUUUAAAAAUAACCUGAUUACCUUUCUUAGAGUCCUAUCUCUCUCCUUGGUUUUGAGAGCUCUUGCCACUAGUCCUUUGUCUCUUCCAUCUUCUGCCUCUAGCUCUCUCCGAAUCUCCAGCCAGCACAAAGGUGGAAAAUGGAAUGAAUCUGACUCCGCCUCCAAGAGUGGGCUUGUGGGCUUCUGUCCUGACUUGUGAAUCUCCUCAACUGAAUCCUGGCUCUGAAUCUCCGGAACUGCAUCCUGGUUGAGGCUCCUAGCUUAUAUAUGCUCUCUUAAAGGUGUGAACUUUAAUAAGUACUAAGUAUAUAAUCAUUAUCUCUAUUAAUUCCAGUGACUUAACACCUUGUUUCAAGUUCUGGCCCAUAACAGUCACAUUGUUUAAAAAAGUAUACUGUAAACUAAGAUCAGGAUUUUUUUUUGUAAGUAUAAAUUUAGAUUUAAUAUUUUUUUUUAGUUUGUGUGAGCAUGGAUUCACUCUGUCUUUUGAGUCUCUUAGCUCCAGGGGAGUGGUGCUCUGGGUAUUAUUCUCAUUAUAUGGAUGAGGAAACUGAGGCUGAUUAAAAUUAUUAAUAGUAAUAAUGACUUCCAGCAUUUAUAAGACACUUUAAACUUUUACAAACAUUAUCUCAAAUGAUUUGACCGACAUCACAGAGUUAGGAAGAGUCUAGCUAGAAGUCUUCUAAUCUGCCACAUUUUACCUCCUAAUGAGGCUCCUUCUUAAAUAGAGGAAGUUGUGGUUUGGAAAAGCAGACAAUUCUUUGAUAUUUAGAUAAUAGGAGAAGAACCUCAACUAAAGCCCUAAUAUGGCAGCUCAUCACCUUUUGGAAAGGACUGGAUUCUCAGAGAUUGUGUCUGAACAGCACAAGAGUUGACUGGUUCUAUUAAGUGGUUCUCCCUUCCAACUAUCUACAAAACCCUGCCAGCCUCAUGCUGCUGUUCCUUUAUUUCUUUAUGAAAACCUGUCCUCAAGACUCUCCAUUGAUAGAAACUCGGAGUGUUCUCCUUUCCAAGGGCAUUUUUCGUUUAAGGGCUGUCAAAACUCUAAGCAAAAGUGCCUCCAGGCAUUCAUGUGAACAACUCCUGCAUGUAUGAAACAUAUUUUUCAUUUCCAUCUAUCAAAAUCCUCUUCCUUCUUCAAGGCCAGGGUUUCCAAGACUAAAGAAUGCAUCAGUGAUUGUCCAGCUGCUCCAUUCUGUGAGAUUGCUCUUGAGAAAGCAGAGAUUAUAUUUUGCUCAAAUCCUGUUGUGUAUGAGCUUUCCAUCUGACAAGAGGAGGGCAGCGGUGUCUCUGUGGAAUUGUCGGAGUGCUACGCAGGCCAGCCAAGCAGGGGCAAAAGAGACUUUGUAAUGGAGCUUAGCACUUCUAGUCCUCGGCCCCCAUCUCUCCAAACACCUGUGGGUGCAGCCACCCAAGGGAGGUAUUCUCUCUCUUUUCUUUCCAUUGAUGCCUUUGGGGAUGCCGCUGCCAAGUCGCUGCCUCCAGGAGGUCCCAUCAUCAAGUCCUUCCCCUGCUCUCUUCAAUUCAAUUGAACAAACAUUUAAGUGCUUGAUAUAUGUGAAGCAUUGUGCUACAUUCUGAGAGGGCAAAGCAACCUCCCCUCACAAAACAGCAACUAGCCUUUGUCCUUACAAAACUUUUAUUUUACUGGGGGGGGGGGAAGUGGAGAACAAUAUGUAAACGGAUAAAUAAAUGCAAGAUAAUUUGAAGGAGAUAGCUCUAAGAAAGUCAGUGAAUUGGAGGAAGAAAAGCUUCCUGGAUGAAGAAGCUGAGUCUUGAAGGAAAAUGAGGAUUUUUAAGAGGUGAGAAGGGAAUGCACUUUUAGGCACGGGGGUAUAGGGGUAGGAGGUGGUAAUAGCCUAUUCAGGGAAUAGCUUGAAGACUAAUUUGGGUGGAAUAAAGAGGGUCCAUGGAGAUCAAUAUGAAACCAGUCUAGAAGGGAAAAUUAAAGCCAGAUUGUCAAAGGCUUUAAAUACUAGGCUGAUGAAUGUGUAUUUAUUCUAAUGGCAAUAGGGGAGAUUUUUGAGCUUGGGAGUAACCUCAUAAGCCCUGUACCUUAGUAAUGUUAUUUUGGUAGUUGUACAGAGAAGAAGUUAGAGAGGGGAAGAGACUAGAAUCAUGGAGAGCAAUUAUGAGCCUGUUACAGUAGUUUACUUAUGUGAUUAUCUAUGAUAAUCACUUUCAGUAUCAAAUGAGAUAAUAUUUGUAAAACACUUAGCACAAUGCUUGAUAUGUAAGAGGCAUUUAAUAAAUGUUUACUUCUUAGUCCCCAUAGUAGUGGCUAUGUUAAGGAGAGACAGGGGUGAUAGAAGAAAUAUUGUGGAAGUAGAAUCAGUAGGAUUUAGCAGCUGGUGAUGAGGGAAAAUGAAGAGUUGAAAAUGACAUCAAGGUUAAGAAACUGGGUGUCUGAAAGGCUAGUGGAGCCUUCAAGAGAACUGGGGAUAUACGGAAGAGGGACAGGAUUAAGGGUGAAGACAGUUCAGUUUAGUACAAGGUAAGGUUGAGAUAUCAAAGGCACAUCCAGGUGGAGCUAGCCAUCAAGCAGUUGACAACAAGGGAUUAAAAUUCAGAGUUGAGAUUAUUAUUAGUUACAAAAAUUUGAUAGUUUUUACUCUUAUGAAAAGUAUGAGAUCAUCAAUAGAGCAUAAUUAGGAAAGAGAAGAGGGCUCAUCACAGAGCCUUGGGGAACAUUUGGGAGCAAGAGAUGAAUGAUGACUCAGUAAAAGGAGACUAAGCAGACAGAUAGGAGAACCAGCACAGAGCAAUGUUGGUGAAGCCAGAGGAAGAGAGAAUAUCCAGAAAGAGGAGAUGGCCAAAAGUCUCAAAGGUCAGUUAAGAUCCUUGGUCAUGUUGUUGAGAAGAGAAGAGUGGUAGAGGUAGAAACAAAGGGUGGAGAAGUGUGGGAAUGAAGGAGGAGAGAUAGUUUGGCUGGGAAAGGGAAAAAAAUAGGAUAGUUACUUAACUGUCCUGGAUCUAUCUCCAACUUCUGACACUAUUCAUUGCCCCUCCUCUUGGACUCUUCCCUAUUUGUUUUUGGUGACCUUGUUCUCUCCUGGAUCUUCUGAGUUCUCUUCAGUCUCCUUCGCUGAAUUAUCUUCCAACUUUUGUCCCUUAGCAUUGGAGUUUCCCAGGCUUCUGCUUUCUCUCCUUUGAUGCCCCAUUAUGCUUUUUCUUUCUGCCUUCUGUUCCUCUCUCUCUUUUCAUCCUCUUUCCUGGGGACUUCAUCUGGUCCCAUGGGUUCAAUGACCAUUUCUGUGACAGGAUUUGAGGGAGAAUGGCAGAAUAAGUGUUGAGGAAGGGGGAUAUUAGGAGACAUGGGAAGGUAGGAGGCUAUUCAUUAAUCUUGUUGAUAAACUAGGACUAGGAAAGGCAGAAGCACUCAUUGAGAAUGUACCAUGUGGCAAGCACUGUGCUAAGCAUUUCACAAGCAUUAUCUUAUUUGAUCCUCAUAACAAUCCUGGGAGCUAGGUAUUGUUAUCUCAGUUUUACAGCUGAGGAUCCUGAGCUAAACAGAGGUUAAGUGACUUGGUUCAUGGUGGUGUAGUUCUGUCUGGGGCCCACAUUUGAACUCAGAUCUUUCUGAUUCCAGGCCUAGUGCUCUAGCCACUGUAUCAUGAAGCUGCCUCCUAUUUGAUGAAAAAAUACUGUCGGGAAAACUGUAAAGCAGUGUUGUAGAAAUUAGGUUUAAACCAACAUCUGAAUCAUGUUCUAUAAUACAUUCUACAUGAUAUGUGACCUUAAUAUUAAAGAUCAUACUAUAAAAAAUGAGAAGAAAAUCAGAUCAUAUAACUCACAGUUAUGGGAUGGAAAAAUGGGAAGCUAUAAGCAGAAGAAUUUCAGAAUUCCAG
ensembl:lncRNA